rnacentral:rRNA from 1 species
GAUGAACGCUGGCGGCGUGCUUAACACAUGCAAGUCGAAACGGAGUUGCCUUUGAAAGAGGAUUCGUCCAAUUUGAUAAGGUUACUUAGUGGCGGACGGGUGAGUAACGCGUGAGGAACCUGCCUUGGGAGUGGGGAAUAACACAAGUGAAAAUUGUGCUAAUACCGCAUAAUGCAAGUUGGGUCGCUAUGACUACUGACUGCCAAAGAUUUAUCCGCUCUGAGAUGGCCUCGCGUCUGAUUAGCUAGUUGGUGGGUAACGCCCACCAAGGCGACGAUCAGUAGCCGGACUGAGAGGUU